ACGAGUUAUGCACCCCUUACAUUCUGUCAACCCACAAGACUGUUAUCACAUCAACUGGCUACACACGGAGUGAUAGACAAAUGAAAAAUAUUUGGUAGAUAUUUUGUUAGUGGCUAACCAGAGGUUUGAAAAAUGUCAAUGUUGCGUUGAUUAGAUAGUAGCUGGGAGCCUGCGGUGUCGGAUAGUUGUGAGAUUUGUUUAUGACAGUUUGCGAUGGAACACGUGAAAAAUUGCAUAUGUAUUUUUGGAAUUGUUUGGCGAGCUACUCAUAGGUGGACUGCGAGCUACUGCACUUCACUGAUGGAAAGCCAAGCGAAAUAUGUCCUAACUGUCGAUGCGGGGAGCACAUGGCUGGAACAACAUCCUUCAGAUGACAUCCAAACAAAAGCCUACUCCGGCCAAACCCAGAUGACGCUGGGCCAAUUGUGCGCCACCCUAUGGGACUCCCAAUCACGGCUGGAUGUGAUACAGUCUGGAUACACUAUAUGUGGACACCCCUUCAAAUGAGUAGAUUUGGCUAUUUCAGCUACAACCAUUGCUGACAAGUGUAUAAAAUAGAGUACACAGCCAUGCAAUCUCCAUAGACAAACAUUGGCAGUAGAUUGGCCUUACUGAAGAGCUUGGUGACUUUCAAUGUGGCACCAUCAUAGAAUGCCAACUUUCCAACAGGUCAGUUCAUAACAUUUCUGCCCUGCUAGAGCUGCCCCUGUCAACUAUACAGUAAGUGCUGUUGUUGUGUGGAAACAUCUAGGAGCAACAAGGCAGCCGCGAAGUGGUAGGCCACACAAGAUUACAGAACAGGGCCGAUGAGUGCUGAAGCACGCAGCGCUUAAAAAAUCUUCUGUCCUCGGUUGCAACACUACAGAGUUCCAAACUGCCUCUGGAAGCAAUGUCAGGACAAGAACUGUUCCAUCGUACACAAGCCUAAAAUCACCAUGUGCAAUGCCAAGCGUCAAUGGAGUGGUGUUAAGCUUGCCAUCAUUGGACUCUGGAGCAGUGGAAAUGCGUUGUCUGGAGUGAUGAAUCAUGCUUCACCACCUGGCUGUCCGACAGACAGGUGGACACGCUUCCUGCCUCAAUGCAUAGUGCCAAUUGUAAAAUUUGGUGGAGGAGGAAAUGGUCUAGGGCUAUUUUUGUAUGGUUCAGGCUAGGCCCCUUAGUUCCAGAGAAGGGAAAUCUUAACGCUAACGCAUUCAAAGACAUUCUAGACGAUUCUAUGUUCUAAUUCUGUGGCAACAAUUUGGGUAAGGCCCUUUACUGUUUCAGCAUGACAAUGCACCCAUCCACAAAGCCAGGUCCUUACAGAUAUGGUUUGUCGAGAUUGGUUUAGAAGAUCUUGACUGCCCAGCACAGAGCCCCGACCUCAACCCAUUCGAAAACCGUUGGGAUUAAUUGGAACACUGACCGCGAGCCAGAUAUUUAUCCCCUUCACCCUCUUUGAUCACAUGGAAAUCCUUGAUUGAGGACACAUGAUCCUCCACGGUCAUGUCCCUCGCACUAAAGGGACACUUCAUCUCCAGCACUCCACUCAUGACAUUGCCACAGGUAACUGCAUCAGGCAAAACUCCUAGAAAAGGUAGGCUGGGCCGCAAGAGUAGACGGCAUCUGAGCAGGUGCCUAUCUGGGAAUUUCUUGAGGUACAUUGAUAGCAUUUUGGCAGCAUCAUAGCUUAUCGGCUUGGAAGAUACUUGUUUAGGACUGCACAAAUGCCUCUGCCACUUUUUUUUUAUUAUUGUGACUUCGUUUGAAGACCCACAGGAUGGUGUUGAUGGAGGUGGUGGUAGAUUGGUCGAGGGGAAAAAUGAGCAGAGAGAAAUGACGGUCUGUUCAUUACUUUAAGACAUGAAGGUCAGUCAAUCUGGAACAUUUCAAGAACUUUGAAAGUUUCUUCAAGUGCAGUCGCAAAAACUAUCAAGUGCUAUGAUGAAACUGGCUCUCAUGAGGACCGCCACAAGAAAGGAAGACUCAGAGUUACCUCUGCUGCAGAGGAUAAGUUCAUUAGCGUUAACUGCACCUCCGAUUGCAGCCCAAAUCAAUGCAGACACAUCUCAAUAUCAACUUUUCAUAGGAGACUGCGUGAAUCAGGCCUUCAUGGUCGAAAUGCUGCAAAGAAGCCACCUCUAAAGGACACCAAUAAGAAAAAAGACUUGCUUGGGCCAAGAAACACGCGCAAUGGACAUUAGACUGGUGGAAAUUAGUCCAAAUUUGAGAGACGCAGAGUAGGUGAACGGAUGAUCUCCACAUGUGUGGUUCCCACCGUGAAGCAUGGAGGAGGAGGUGUGAUGGCGAGGGGUGCUUUUCUGGUGACACUGUCAGUGAGUUAUUUAGAAUUCAAGGCACACUUAACCAGCAUGGCUACCACAGCAUUUCUAGUGAUAUGCCAUCCCAUUUGGUUUGCGCGUAGUGGGACUAUAAUUUGUUUGUCAACAGGACAAUGACCCAACACAUCUCCAGGCUGUGUAAGAGUUAUUUGAUGAAGAAGGAGAGUGAUGGAGUGGUGCAUUAGAUGACCUGGCCUCCACAAUCACCUGACCUCAGCCCAAUUGAGAUAGUGUUCUGAUAUCCAGAAGUUAUUUUCUGUCAUAAGAGACAGUAGCACCAACAUUAUGUUAAAAAUAAGUUGCAAACAAUCCAAAAUAGCACAAUUGGUUAGGAGCCCGUAAAACGGCAGCCAUCCCCUCCGGCGGCAUUUUCCUGAUGUGUUUUAAGCGUUCUUGUGGACUUCCAUCUUUUUUUUUCUAUUAAAAAAGGGUGAUUUUGAUCACGAAAACCUGAAGAAAUUGGGGGAAAGUUUUACCUGGAAAAAUGAAACAGAGAAAACAGAAUUUGGGAAAAUACAAAACGGAAUCAGGCAAAAUGAUGUAACGUGAUUUUUUUAGAACCCUAUGUAUGCUAUG